GAUGAACGCUGGCGGCGUGCCUAAUACAUGCAAGUCGAGCGAACAGACGAGGAGCUUGCUCCUCUGACGUUAGCGGCGGACGGGUGAGUAACACGUGGAUAACCUACCUAUAAGACUGGGAUAACUUCGGGAAACCGGAGCUAAUACCGGAUAAUAUAUUGAACCGCAUGGUUCAAUAGUGAAAGACGGUUUUGCUGUCACUUAUAGAUGGAUCCGCGCCGCAUUAGCUAGUUGGUAAGGUACGGCUUACCAAGGCAACGAUGCGUAGCCGACCUGAGAGGGUGAUCGGCCACACUGGAACUGAGACACGGUCCAGACUCCUACGGGAGGCAGCAGUAGGGAAUCUUCCGCAAUGGGCGAAAGCUUGACGGAGCAACGCCGCGUGAGUGAUGAAGGUCUUCGGAUCGUAAAACUCUGUUAUUAGGGAAGAACAAAUGUGUAAGUAACUAUGCACGUCUUGACGGUACCUAAUCAGAAAGCCACGGCUAACUACGUG
rnacentral:rRNA from 1 species